GAGAUGAUAAGUACUAGUGCAGUGGGGACUGUCGUUUGUCUCAAUAACCCUCCUCAUAUAAGUUUUUCCAGAAAUUCUGACCAUCCGAAUCCUGGAGAAGUUGUGCCAUGAUGAUGCGAACUUAAUGUGAGAAGCAAGUGGGUCUGAGAAGGGUAAAUGGCGGAAAGAAGUAGACACAGAUCCUAUUUACUGGGCUAGUGCACCCAUCCCCCAGCUGCUGCGAGUGAUGACAGCUAACAGCCUACAGCAAUUUUCCUGAGAGUUGUCCCUGGCCAAAAGAAGCCUCCUCGUUUUGAAAUGCCUGUGACCUUAUGCCCUGUCCCCAGGGCCAGCCUGGAGACUGUGACUUAUUGAUUCAAGGUCUGGACCUCUACCUCAAGCUCUAUACCUAAUGGUGGUGAAAUUCAAUUGAUCAAAUUGUGCUGGUCUCAGGAGCUACUGUUGCUCACUCUGUGAUGAGAGGAAUAUCCCACAUACUCCUGCAGCGUAGAGGAAACCCUCUAGGGUAAUCUCCAGCCAAACUUUUAAGUCGCAAGUUAGUUCUGCCCACCUUUGAGAUUCAUAUUCCUUGGGAUUUUCUGUGUAAACAAUCAUGUCAUCUGCAAGAGGGAACAUUUUAUAUCUUCCUUUCUAAUCGCAAGAAGUUGUAAGGUGAUCAGUGCCAGAAUUGACCUGGGAUCCAUAGAAGAGAACCACAGCCUGCUUUCAGAGAAAGCUGCCUCCUGGGGCCAGCCACCUUUCCAAAGGGGUACGGAGAGGCAGCAUUCAGCAGAACCAGCCUUGCAGGGGGCUGUCACAACACAGCACAGAGAAGCACAUGCUUCAGAGGAAUACAACACGAU
rnacentral:lncRNA from 1 species